rnacentral:rRNA from 1 species
UACGUAGGGUCCGAGCGUUGUCCGGAAUUACUGGGCGUAAAGAGCUCGUAGGUGGUUUGUCGCGUUGUUCGUGAAAACUCACAGCUCAACUGUGGGCGUGCGGGCGAUACGGGCAGACUGGAGUACUGCAGGGGAGACUGGAAUUCCUGGUGUAGCGGUGGAAUGCGCAGAUAUCAGGAGGAACACCGGUGGCGAAGGCGGGUUGCUGGGCCGACACUGACGCUGAGGCGCGAAAGCUAGGGGAGCGAACGGG